rnacentral:tRNA from 1 species
GCCUGUGUAGUCCAGCAGCAGAGACAGCCGCUUCAAAAUCGGCCCAGCGUGGGUGCGAAUCCCACCGCAGGCACCA